rnacentral:ribozyme from 1 species
AAAAAGAGAGACGAAGAAAGAAAAAAAAAAAAGAAAAAUCGGACAAAAGAAACAACGAAAGAAAGGGGGGGGGGACCAAAUCAUUGUGCUACUUGUUUCGCUUAUUUUGUCUCU